AGCGAACGCUGGCGGCAGGCCUAACACAUGCAAGUCGAACGAACCUUUCGGGGUUAGUGGCGGACGGGUGAGUAACACGUGGGAACGUGCCUUUAGGUUCGGAAUAACUCAGGGAAACUUGUGCUAAUACCGAAUGUGCCCUACGGGGGAAAGAUUAAUCGCCUUUAGAGCGGCCCGCGUCUGAUUAGCUAGUUGGUUGAGGUAAUGGCCCACCAAGGCGACGAUCAGUAGCUGGUCUGAGAGGAUGAUCAGCCACAUUGGGACUGAGACACGGCCCAAACUCCUACGGGAGGCAGCAGUGGGGAAUCUUGCGCAAUGGGCGAAAGCCUGACGCAGCCAUGCCGGGUGAAUGAUGAAGGUCUUAGGAUUGUAAUAUUCUUUCACCGGGGACGAUAAUGACGGUACCCGGAGAAGAAGCCCCGGCUAACUUCGUG
rnacentral:rRNA from 1 species